CCAGAGAACUUUCCAGAGAUGGAUUGGUGCCUUCGGGAACUCUGAGACAGGUGCUGCAUGGCUGUCGUCAGCUCGUGUUGUGAAAUGUUGGGUUAAGUCCCGCAACGAGCGCAACCCUUAUCCUUUGUUGCCAGCGGUUAGGCCGGGAACUCAAAGGAGACUGCCAGUGAUAAACUAGAGGAAGGUGGGGAUGACGUCAAGUCAUCAUGGCCCUUACGAGUAGGGCUACACACGUGCUACAAUGGCGCAUACAAAGAGAAGCGACCUCGCGAGAGCAAGCGGACCUCAUAAAGUGCGUCGUAGUCCGGAUUGGAGUCUGCAACUCGACUCCAUGAAGUCGGAAUCGCUAGUAAUCGUGGAUCAGAAUGCCACGGUGAAUACGUUCCCGGGCCUUGUACACACCGCCCGUCACACCAUGGGAGUGGGUUGCAAAAGAAGUAGGUAGCUUAACCUUCGGGAGGGCGCUUACCACUUUGUGAUUCAUGACUGGGGUGAAGUCGUAACAAGGUAGGCGUAGUGCU
rnacentral:rRNA from 1 species